CUUAGUACGGCGAGUGAAGCGGUAAAAGCUCAAAUUUGAAAUCUGGUACUUUCAGUGCCCGAGUUGUAAUUUGUAGAAUUUGUCUUUGAUUAGGUCCUUGUCUAUGUUCCUUGGAACAGGACGUCAUAGAGGGUGAGAAUCCCGUUUGGCGAGGAUACCUUUUCUCUGUAAGACUUUUUCGAAGAGUCGAGUUGUUUGGGAAUGCAGCUCAAAGUGGGUGGUAAAUUCCAUCUAAAGCUAAAUAUUGGCGAGAGACCGAUAGCGAACAAGUACAGUGAUGGAAAGAUGAAAAGAACUUUGAAAAGAGAGUGAAAAAGUACGUGAAAUUGUUGAAAGGGAAGGGCAUUUGAUCAGACAUGGUGUUUUUUGCAUGCACUCGCCUCUCGUGGGCUUGGGCCUCUCAAAAAUUUCACUGGGCCAACAUCAAUUCUGGCAGCAGGAUAAAUCAUUAAGAAUGUAGCUACUUCGGUAGUGUUAUAGCUUUUUGGAAUACUGUUAGCCGGGAUUGAGGACUGCGCUUCGGCAAGGAUGUUGGCAUAAUGGUUAAAUGCCGCCCGUCUUGAAACACGGACCA
rnacentral:rRNA from 1 species